UAGCUGUUAGAUUAACGGUAAAUCAUGGAUCUUACACGUCUAGGUUAAUGGUUCGAGUCCAUUACAGCUAA
rnacentral:tRNA from 2 species